rnacentral:rRNA from 1 species
UGCCAGACUCCUACGGGAGGCAGCAGUGGGGGAUAUUGCACAAUGGGGGAAACCCUGAUGCAGCGACGCCGCGUGGGCGAAGAAGUGUUUCGGUAUGUAAAGCCCUAUCAGCAGGGAAGAAGAAAUGACGGUACCUGAGUAAGAAGCACCGGCUAAAUACGUGCCAGCAGCCGCGGUAAUACGUAUGGUGCAAGCGUUAUCCGGAUUUACUGGGUGUAAAGGGAGCGCAGACGGCAGCGCAAGCCAGGAGGGAAAGCCCGGGGCCCAACCCCGGGACUGCUCUUGGAACUGCGCGGCUGGAGUGCAGGAGGGGCAGGCGGAAUUCCUGGUGUAGCGGUGAAAUGCGUAGAUAUCAGGAGGAACACCGGUGGCGAAGGCGGCCUGCUGGGCUGCGACUGACGUUGAGGCCCGAAAGCGUGGGGAGCAAACAGGAUUAGAUACCCCCGUGC